rfam:Triticum aestivum genome assembly, contig: Triticum_aestivum_CS42_TGACv1_scaffold_113622_2AS
GUUCUACUCCAUCCGUCUGGAAAUACUUGUCAUCAAAAUGGAUAAAAGGGGAUGUAUCUAGAUGUAUUUUAGUUCUAGAUACAUCUCUUUUUAUCCAUUUUGAUGACAAGUAUUUGCGGACGGAGGGAGUAUAAA